rnacentral:rRNA from 1 species
AUUGAACGCUGGCGGCAGGCCUAACACAUGCAAGUCGAGCGAGCGGCGGACGGGUGAGUAAUGUCUGGGAAACUGCCUGAUGGAGGGGGAUAACUACUGGAAACGGUAGCUAAUACCGCAUACCAUCAGAUGUGCCCAGAUGGGAUUAGCUAGUCGGUGGGGUAACGGCUCACCUGGGCGACGAUCCCUAGCUGGUCUGAGAGGAUGACCGACCACACUGGAACUGAGACACGGUCCAGACUCCUACGGGAGACAGCAGUUGGGAAUAUUACACAAUGGGCGCAAUCCUGAUGCAGCCAUACCGCGUGUGUGAGGAAGGCCUUCGGGUUGAAAAGCACUUUCAGCGGGGAGGCGUUACCCGCAGAAGAAGCACCGGCUAACUCCGUGCCAGCAGCCGCGGUAAUAC